rnacentral:rRNA from 1 species
GGAACCUGCCCGAUACCGGGGUAUAGCCCAUGGAAACGUGGAUUAACACCCCAUAGUACUUUUAUCCUGCAUGGGAUGUGAGUUAAAUGUUCAAGGUAUCGGAUGGGCAUGCGUCCUAUUAGUUAGUUGGCGGGGUAACAGCCCACCAAGACGAUGAUAGGUAGGGGUUCUGAGAGGAAGGUCCCCCACAUUGGAACUGAGACACGGUCCAA